CAUUAUCUCUCUCCUCGUGCUUCUUUUUCAGAGUCUCAGGAACUUCGGCCUUAUUCUCUCUCCUCCAUUUGCUCUCCUUCGUGAUUCUCUCUCCUCACCGCUACCGAUCCUCACCUGCUGCAACCACUGCACCGCCACCAUCUCCACGCUGCUAUGAUCUACGCAUCAUCUCCUCUGCUACAAUUGCUUUGAUUUGAUGUUCUUCAUGCGAAAAAUACUGCAACACUCAAUUAUCCACUUGAAUCUGCAAUAACCGAGAAUAAAGUUGAAGAAAUGUAAUGCUGUUGAGCCGUUGAAGUUGGUUAAUGGGAGGCCAUCUGUCCCAAUCCUUGACGAGCAGUUGCUGCCGAAGUUUCUGCACUCAAAACGCUUGGAAAGCUCUGUAAACAGGAGUCAUACAAGGUUGAAACUGUUUUCUGGCUUGGCAAAUCCUGCAUUGACUAAGAUCAAUUCAGAUUUCAUAUCACGUAAUCCAAGAAAACAAUCAUAAUGCAGAACGUAUAAGGGCUGCCAAAAUUCCUCUGUACCUUGUGGGUGUCCUGUUCCUGUAUGCCGCCUAAACGGCUGACAUCUUAUGUUGAUUCUAUUUCUUGGCAUCUUCAAGUCCAUGAAGCUUCUGCAAUGUGAAUUCCUAACUUCUGAAGGUGGAUCGUUAAGGGUUUGUCCAAGCUUUCUACUCAGUUGAAUGAUAAAACUUUUGAACUUGAGAUCAAUUCAGUGGAUAAAAUAAUUCUUCACUACCAAUUACAAAGGAAGGUAUUAGCAUGCAAUAUCCAUACUCUUUUGCAAAUCUAAUUUGAUAACCUGCUGAGUAAUUUCCACAAUUUUUAUAUUUCAAAAAAUGAUGAGAUGCAAGAGACCAUUCUUCUACUUAGGCAGCUGGUUUGCACAUUGUCAGAUAUAUGCUAUGUAUGUCCAGAAGGACAAAGUCCGUCUUCUAUGCUCAAUUGUGAUCCUAUCAAUUCAGAUGAGAAAAACAAGGAAGGGAAGGAUUCACUUCAUAAAAACAAGGGCCCAUCUAGAUCAAUCAAUUAAUUAUUUUGCAAAAGUUGACUUGUGUUGACUUCGUGAAAAUGCCCGACACGCUGGGAUUCCUUGUGUGCCAGAUUUUGCAGCUUCAAAUAUAUAUCCAGAACAAAGAGGGGGCAAACAUAAACACCAUGAAAUUUAAAUACUCGAAAAAGAGAAUGAGGCUCAAACAAGAACAAGAACAUACUUGCAUUUGCUAGUAUCUCAGAAGUGACAGUCACACUGUUUUCUACAACUUGCUUCUGCAACAAUCUCUGCUCCUGACAACCUCUUGGGCAGUAUAUUCUAUAAAUUAACAGAAAUCCAACUGCGAGAAUUCCCAAAACUACUAGUACUCCUCCAAUCACACAGACUAAAGUUAGUGCAUUGAAGUGAGUGAUUAAAUUGCCUUUCUUCAGUAGCUUCAAUGUUUUAUGUAGGAGUCAGUGAGGAAAGUAUUUCUUUGAAGUGAGUGAUUAUGCAAGUCAGUCAUGUAGUGGAAGCUACUAGGUGAGUAAAGUGAGGGUGUAAUGCAAUGAUAUUCUGAAUUUCACUAGUUGUUAGAAUUUUUCUAUGGGAGCUCCAUGCUGGACGGAUCCCCUGGACACGUGGCUUGUCAAUUUUGUGAGUACUUUAGUAAUUUUGAUUUACUCUAUUAGUUCAAGUGAUGCCUAUUAGCUCAAGUUUUCGAAUAAUUUCGAUUUACUCUUUUUUGGUUUUUUGCUUUACUUUUGUUCAUUUCAUUUAAA